rnacentral:lncRNA from 1 species
UAGUGGUAGACAUGACUGUAUGUAGUGUUAUGAUAUGAGGGUAGGUUAGUGUUAGACAUAUCUGUAUGUAGUGUUAUGAUAUGAGGGUAGGUUAGUGUUAUGAUAUGAUAUGAGGGUAGGUUAGUGUUAUGAUAUGAGGGUAGGUUAGUGUUAGACAUGUCUGUAUGUAGUGUUAUGAUAUGAGGGUAGGUUAGUGUUAGACAUGUCUGUAUGUAGUGUUAUGAUAUGAGGGUAGGUUAGUGUUAUGAUAUGAUAUGAGGGUAGGUUAGUGUUAUGAUAUGAGGGUAGGUUAGUGUUAGACAUGUCUGUAUGUAGUGUUAUGAUAUGAGGGUAGGUUAGUGGUAGACAUGUAUGUAUGUUGUGUUAUGAUAUGAGGGUAGGUUAGUGUUAUGAUAUGAGGGUAGGUUAGUGGUAGACAUGUCUGUAUGUAGUGUUAUGAUAUGAGGGUAGGUUAGUGUUAUGAUAUGACGGUAGGUUAGUGUUAUGAUAUGAGGGUAGGUUAGUGUUAGACAUGUCUGUAUGUAGUGUUAUGAUAUGUGGGUAGGUUGGUGGUAGACAUGUAUGUAUGUAGUGUUAUGAUAUGAGGGUAGGUUAGUGGUUACUUUAUCCUAUCCCAGGUAUUCCUUAAAGAGGUGGGGUUUCAGGUGUCUCCGGAAGGUGGUGAUUGACUCCGCUGUCCAGGCGUCGUGAGGGAGCUUGUUCCACCAUUGGGGUGCCAGAGCAGCGAACAGUUUUGACUGGGCUGAGCGGGAACUGUGCUUCCUCAGAGGUAGGGAGGCG